rnacentral:piRNA from 1 species
UGCCAAUUGUUCUUGGAAUUCUUCGACAUC